rnacentral:ncRNA from 1 species
AAAAGAAAAAGGCAAAGCUAAUGAAAGUUAGUGACGCAAAACUAUAGGGGCUAAAGUGUUCAGCAUACACGAAGCCAGCCAGUUACCGAA